rnacentral:rRNA from 1 species
GACGAACGCUGGCGGCGUGCCUAAUACAUGCAAGUUGAGCGCUGAAGGCUGGUACUUGUACCAACUGGAUGAGCAGCGAACGGGUGAGUAACGCGUGGGGAAUCUGCCUUUGAGCGGGGGACAACAUUUGGAAACGAAUGCUAAUACCGCAUAAAAACUUUAAACACAAGUUUUAAGUUUGAAAGAUGCAAUUGCAUCACUCAAAGAUGAUCCCGCGUUGUAUUAGCUAGUUGGUGAGGUAAAGGCUCACCAAGGCGAUGAUACAUAGCCGACCUGAGAGGGGGAUCGGCCACACUGGGACUGGGACACGGCCCAAACUCCUACGAGAGGCAGCAGUAGGGGAUCUUCGGCAAUGGACGAAAGUCUGACCGAGCAACGCCGCGUGAGUGAAGAAGGUUUUCGGGUCGUAAAACUCUGUUGGUAGAGAAGAACGUUGGUGAGAGUGGAAAGCUCAUCAAGUGACGGUAACUACCCAGAAAGGGACGGCUAACUACGUG